rnacentral:rRNA from 1 species
UACGUAGGGCGCAAGCGUUGUCCGGAAUUAUGGGCGUAAAGAGCUCGUAGGCGGCUUGUCACGCGGGUGUGAAAGCCCGGGGCUUAACCCCGGGUCUGCAUUCGAUACGGGCAGGCUAGAGUGUGGUAGGGGAGAUCGGAAUUCCUGGUGUAGCGGUGAAAUGCGCAGAUAUCAGGAGGAACACCGGUGGCGAAGGCGGCGACCUGGUCCGAUACCGACGUCAGGCACGAAAGCGUGGGGAGCAAACAGG